rnacentral:lncRNA from 1 species
UACAAAUUAUGGUGCUGAAGGAAAUGAGCACAUCGCACAAAACACAAUAGGAAGAAGUAGAAGAAGAAGAAGAAGAAGAAGAAGAAGAAGAAGAAGAAGAAGAAGAAGAAGAAGAAGACCGCAACAAAUCUGAUUUGCGCAGCAGCAAAGGCAGCUUGGGACAAACAAGUAAACCUCAUAAUAUAGUUAUUAAUGAUACAAGUUACUAACAUCUAAUAAAGUGGCAUAUUUUAGAACUCAUUGUUGCUCGUGCCAGCACAAGAGCAUGGCGAUGCACCGGCGGAGGAUGUAGAACUUGGCCCUCUGCUUCUUGGCCAAAUGGCUGCACUUCUCCCCGAAAGACUGGUAACGAGGGUGUUCGCCCUUGAUGAAGCUCUCCUGGUCGCAAUUAUUGUAGUCCCUUGCUUCUACUUUCUCCCCCAUUGCCGGCCGAACGUUCUUGAACGACGCAGCGCACACUCCUUCAGUGUUAUAUUUCAGGGCUUGGCGCAGUUUUCUUUAUUCUUGAGUAGAAUGAACGCAGAGAGAGAGAGAGAGAGAGAGAGAGAGAGAGGG